rnacentral:pre_miRNA from 1 species
UCUUGUGGAUGAGCAAAAAAGUGGUUUCCUGAGAAGAAUCAGGAAACUACUUUUGGUGAAAAUGCUGUGAA